UUUUUUGAGAGUUUGAUCCUGGCUCAGAAUGAACGCUGGCGGCGUGCCUUAAGCAUGCAAGUCGAACGGGCUUGUGCGGAGCACAAGAUUUUUCAUUUACAAAAUUUCCAUUGGAAAAUGACAAAUUGAUAUAUGGAAGGUCUCGCGCUCUGUGCGAGCUAGUGGCAGACGGGUGAGUAACGCGUAGGAACGUACCUCCGAGUGAAGAAUACCUUACCGAAAGGUGAGUUAAUACUGCAUAAUAUCGCAAGAUUAAAGGUCGUAACUGACCGCUUGGAGAUCGGCCUGCGUCCUAUCAGCUAGUUGGUGGGGUAAUUGCCUACCAAGGCGACGACGGGUAGGGGGUGUGAGAGCACGUCCCCCCACAAGGGAAUUGAGAUACGGUCCCUACAUCUACGGAUGGCAGCAACUGGGAAUUGUUGGCAAUGGGGGAAACCCUGACCACGCAACGCCGCGUGUGGGAUGAAGGCCUUCGGGUCGUAAACCACUGUCAUUGUUCAUAAUGAACAAAGAGGAAGCCGCUGCUAACUACGUGCCAGAAGCCUCGGUAAUACGUAGGCGGCGAGCGUUAUUCGGAUUUAUUGGGCGUAAAGAGUUCGUAGGCUGUCUGACAAGUCUUUGGUGAAAUCUCGGGGCUUAACCUCGAAACUGCUGAAGAUACUGUCAGGCUUGACCACUGGCGGGAAGGCUGGAAUUCCUAGUGGAGCAGUGAAAUGCGUUGAUAUUAGGAGGAACACCAAGGGCGAAGGCAGGCCUUUAGUAAGAUGGUGACGCUGAGGAACGAAAGCUAGGGUAGCGAAGCGGAUUAGAGACCCGCGUAGUCCUAGCCGUAAACGAUGGGUGCUAGUUGCUUGUCCCUUUGAGGAUAGGUGACGCAAGUUAACACGUUAAGCACCCCGCCUGGGGAGUACGGCCGCAAGGCUAAAACUCAAAGGAAUUGACGGGGAGGCGCACAACCAGGGGAGCGUGUGGUUUAAUUCGAGACAAAACGUAGGACCUUACCUGGGUUUGACAUGCUAGAAGUAAUCUUCUGGAAACAGAAAGUGACUCGUUAAGUCGGGAGCUAGUACAGCUGCUGCAUGGCUGUCGUCAGCUCGUGCCGUAGGGUGUCCUCUUCAGUGAGGGAACGAGCGCAACCCCUAUCCAAUGUUAAAUAUUCAUUGGAGACUGCCUCGCCUUUGGCGGGGAGGAAGGAGGGGACGACGUCAAGUCAGCAUGGCGCUUAUAUCCAGGGCUACACACACACUACAAUGCCUACUACAGCGAGUUGCGAGCAGGUAACUGUAAGCUAAUCUCUAAAAGGUAGGCUCAGUUGGGAUUGUGGGCUGCAAUUCGCCCACAUGAACCUGGACUUGGUAGUAAUCGUGGGUCAGCAAACCACGGUGAAUACGUUCUCGCCUCUUGUACACACCGCCCGUCAGAUCAACAAAGUCAGCAGCACCCGAAUCCCGAUUUAAUCGGGAGAAGGUGAGGUUGGCGAUGGGGAUCAAGUCGUAACAAGGUAUCCGUUCUGGAAGGAGCGGAUGGAUCACCUCCUUU
rnacentral:rRNA from 1 species